GGCGCCGUGGCGGAGUGGUCUAACGCGACAGACUCGAAAUCUGUUCCCUUCGGGGGCACCGGUUCGAAUCCGGUCGGCGUCG